rnacentral:rRNA from 1 species
UACAGAGGUCCCAAGCGUUGUUCGGAUUCACUGGGCGUAAAGGGUGCGUAGGCGGUCGGGUAAGUCUGAUGUGAAAUCUCCAAGCUCAACUUGGAAAUGGCAUCGGAUACUAUUCGGCUGGAGUACUGCAGGGGAGACUGGAAUUCCUGGUGUAGCGGUGGAAUGCGCAGAUAUCAGGAGGAACACCGGUGGCGAAGGCGGGUCUCUGGGCAGUAACUGACGCUGAGGAGCGAAAGCGUGGGGAGCGAACAGG